CAAUAGCGUAUAUUUAAGUUGUUGCAGUUAAAAAGCUCGUAGUUGGAUUUCGGUUAAGAGCGACCGGUCCGCCGUUUGGUGUGCACUGGUUGGUUUUAACUUCCUGUAGAGGACGUGCUCUGGGUUUAACGACCUGGACUCGGAGUCUACGUGGUUACUUUGAAAAAAUUAGAGUGUUCAAAGCGGGCUUACGCUUGAAUAUUUCAGCAUGGAAUAACACUAUAGGACUCCUGUCCUAUUUCGUUGGUCUCGGGACGGGAGUAAUGAUUAAGAGGAACAGUUGGGGGCAUUCGUAUUUCAUUGUCAGAGGUGAAAUCCUUGGAUUUAUGAAAGACGAACUUCUGCGAAAGCAUUUGCCAAGGAUGUUUUCAUUAA
rnacentral:rRNA from 1 species